UACGAAGGGGGCUAGCGUUGCUCGGAAUUACUGGGCGUAAAGCGCACGUAGGCGGCUUCUUAAGUCGGUGGUGAAAUCCUGGAGCUCAACUCCAGAACUGCCUUUGAUACUGAAGAUCUUGAGUUCGGGAGAGGUGAGUGGAACUGCGAGUGUAGAGGUGAAAUUCGUAGAUAUUCGCAAGAACACCAGUGGCGAAGGCGGCUCACUGGCCCGAUACUGACGCUGAGGCACGAAAGCGUGGGGAGCAAACAGGG
rnacentral:rRNA from 1 species